rnacentral:lncRNA from 1 species
ACAGAGGGGAGGAGCGAGGAUGGGGCGGAGGAGGCUCUGCCUCUGGGGCAUGCCCACGCCGCGUGCUCCUGGUUCCCUCCUUGCCCUCCACGCAGUGCGUGGGGCUGCAGUGGGUCCUGGAGGAGGAGGGAGGUGGCUCUGGAGGCCGCGUGCUCCCGGCGCCCCUCACGGAGCAGAGCGAGGCAGAGCACGCUUCCUUCUGCGUGUUCCGCACAGUCUUGAGGACCACUAGGGGACGUUGACGCCGUGACUCGAGCAGUGAUCCUCCUGGUAGAGACAGAAAAAGGUGUCUAUCUAACUGUUUGCCUGCUAAUCGGACCCGUGAGCCAGGUGUCACUCAGACUUCGUCACCUCAGCACUCUGCCUCAUCACGGCUGACUCUGCACCGUGGGAUCCACGGUUGGAAGGACCACUGGGCGUCAUCUGCAGGACACAGAGCGGGGACGGCUGCAGGCAGCGCGAGUGUGGACGAGCCUUCCUCCCCAGGUCCGUUGUCAGAAGAGGACAGUGCACUAAUAAGAGCAUGGGAGCCUCAUAGAGCAAGGCUCGCCAAAAAAGGGAAGAAAAGAAAAGGAGCAGAUUCACAGCUGAAUCCUUACAAAAAUAAACGAAACGGAGCAAUUGGACACACAACCACAACCAUCGCUGCCUCUCCACCUGAGGAGGCAGCCACAUCUUUGAACCUUCCUGUGUCUGUCCAAUUAACCGUGACAAUUAGGAGAACAGAUGCCGAGGUGCACACCGCGAGCUUGCCUCUUC